CCCGCUGCAAUCCAACUUGCGAAAGAAGGGGCGACGCGAUGCGGCGGUCUCGCUUUCUCCUCGCCGGCUACACCGCCGCCCGAGCCGUAUCGGGCCUCCGCGGCUAUCGGCCUCUCUCUUCCGCCUCCGCCGACACCCCGGCCCAAGUCCUAUCCUCCACGCCGCCGCCACCUGCGCGGACACUCGCCGACCUACGCCGGCGCCUAGCCGAGGAAUCUCCCGCCUUCUCUGAUUUCGUCUACUCUGUUGAGGUCGGGACUAAGAAGAGGUCGCUUGCCAAGCCUAAGUGGAUGAAGGAGACCAUCCCUGGGGGCGCCAAGUACGCCGCCAUCAAGUCCAAGCUUCGGGAACUCAAGCUCCACACGGUGUGCGAAGAGGCCAGGUGCCCUAACCUCGGGGAGUGCUGGUCGGGAGGCGAGACCGGCACUGCCACUGCCACCAUCAUGAUCCUGGGGGAUACUUGUACCCGCGGUUGCAGAUUCUGUAAUGUAAAGACAUCGCGCACUCCUCCUCCACCAGAUCCAAACGAACCUUCUAAUGUUGCUGAAGCAAUUGCCUCAUGGGGUUUGGAUUAUAUUGUGAUUACUAGUGUUGAUCGUGAUGACUUGCCUGAUCAAGGAAGUGGCCAUUUUACUGAAACUGUACAAAAGUUGAAGGCUUUCAAACCAAAGAUUCUGAUAGAAGCACUAGUUCCUGAUUUUCGAGGAGAUCCCAGCUGUGUGGAGAAAGUUGCAAAAUCUGGAUUGGAUGUUUUUGCUCACAACAUUGAGACAGUUGAAGAGCUUCAGAACAUGGUCCGAGAUCACCGUGCUAACUUCGAACAAUCGAUUGAUGUCCUUAAAAUGGCAAAAGAGUAUGCUCCAUCUGGGACUCUUACAAAGACAUCAAUUAUGUUGGGUUGUGGUGAAACACCUGAGCAGGUAAUCAGCACAAUGGAGAAAGUGAGAGCUGCAGGAGUUGAUGUCAUGACAUUUGGUCAGUACAUGAGACCAUCAAAAAGGCAUAUGCCAGUCUCAGAGUAUGUUACACCAGAAGCUUUCGAGAAGUAUCGAUCACUUGGAGUUGAAAUGGGGUUCCGAUAUGUUGCAUCUGGUCCUAUGGUCCGAUCAUCAUAUAAAGCAGGUGAAUUUUACAUCAAGUCAAUGAUCGAAGCUGAUCGAGCUAUGGCUUCCUCCACAUCAAAUGAUGGAUCUUAGUCACAUUGUUCGAACUUAGUGAGGAUAAAGAGGUGAGUCAGCAGCGCCGCCAUCUCCCAUGCCAAGGUUGCUGCCACAACACCAUCUACCAACUCAGCAUGAUUUCUGGGCUUAUAAACAGUGGCCUAGAUGUAGCAUUCGCCACCCUUUUCUGUUCGAAGUGUCAUACAUAAUGCAUGAUCGGAAAGUGAUACAUGGAUUGGAAUGGGCGUUGAGGCAAACUUCUGGAAAAACUGCAUGUGAUAUGCAAGUACAGGAGGAGUCAGACUGCACUAUUCUGAGAUGAUGGAUUGGUCAGUCUUCAACAAUGUCCUGCCGCAAUUAUCGUUUACGAGCCACAAAAGUCAACGGUGGAUCCUUGGAGAAGUGUGAAACCCAUCAUCAGGAGAGAAUGAUUACUUAAUUGCCGAAGGUUAUGUUCAUAUUUCUGUGUGACUUUGACCUUUUUUAUCCCCACAAGAGGGUGGUCAGAAUGAGAAUUGGCCAAAUCGAUGAACUUGUAUCGAUUCAUCUUCA